UGUCAUCGAGUUAACGACUUUUCGUGAUUAAAAUGCAAAAGUAGGUGCGGGUUGGGGGACACUCAAAUAAAACAAAAUACGUAAACGUAAAUAUUUAAAUUUUAAUUAAUUAUUCAAACUGUAACGGCGAACGUCUCUCUCGGCAAAUAUUAUUUUAUUUUAAUACUAAAACGGUUUACGUUUUAAUAAAUGCGCACCCGGAAAUAAUUGUUUUGUUUCGGUUUCGUGCUUUUCGGCACGGAUAAAAGACGAUCGAUAUACGAAAUGUUAUUACGUAUUAAUUGAAUUUGUUUUGAAAAUUUAAUUAACCCCUCUUCUUUUAUUAUUCACUUAGUUACGAUAAUGUUAAUUUAGAAGAGAGACAUUUUACGUGCACACUAGUUUUUACAGUCAUAUUUUUUUUUCAAAAUGUCAUUUGUACGACAAAGGGAAGUUUAAAGGAGGCAGUAGCAUUUAACACACCCACUAGAUAAAAUUUUGAACGAUGAGUGUCACUCAUGACAGUAACGUCGCCCAAAAAACCGCCAUCUUAUAACAGGGAAUAUCAAGAAGGAUCUCCAACCCGCACCUCAACUUUUCAAAUUCAAAACGUUUAUUUGCCAAUAUCCAAAAUUACAAAACAGUUGUACUUAUGAUGUAAGUGAAGUUAGCAAAUAGGAAUGCAUCUCGAUUAUAAAAACCGUUUCUCAAAAGUACCUCUGCAAGAGGCACUUUUAAGUGAUACAUCCUCAAGAAAAGCAACAAAAAGGAAACAAAAUAACAAGAAAACUAAAAAAAACCCUACUAAUAUUUCUUUGAUACUUUUUGAUAGUGAGAGCUUGAAAAAAAUAAAAAAAAAAAAACAAUUUAUUUAUAUUUAUGUACACAGGGCAGGGGUAGGCAGCGACUGAAUCAGGGAAGCGCAGGAGAGGAAACAUCAUACUGUGACUGCAUAAGCAUAUUUCUUAUGUACUUCUUAUACUUAUAAAGAGAAUAAUCUUAUAACACAAUGAGGCAAAUUGUUCCACAAAUGAACUGCAACGUAACUAAAUGAUUUUUGAAAAGCUUCUGUUGUAUGCUGAGGAACCCUAAAAAUAUUAAACCGUCUGGUAUUAUGGUUGUGUUCAUGCACAUUGAAAAGUUUUCUUAUAUAUGAUGACUUUAAAAUUCUGUAUAGUUAUGAAAGAGUACAUGUGAUAUUUGAAAGAAUAAAAUGAUUGUUAAGA